AGUGAUAUAGCUUAACUGGUAAAGCGUCAAUCUGAUAAGUUGGCAGAUGAAAGUUCAAAUCUUUCUAUCACUAC
rnacentral:tRNA from 1 species